AGUGUUCAACUUAUUCCAUCAAAAAGCAGAAUAUCAAAUGCUACUACUGACGUACUAAUAACUUUUUUUUUCUUUCCAAAGAAGUAUAUCCGAGAAAUAUAGACUUCUGCAUCAAUCGUCAGGAGACGGCAUUUGGCAACACAAUUUCCACAAUCCUCCCGAACGGGCCCCUUUUCAUUCGCAAGUACCUUGUCCAACAAAAAAGCAGAAAAACGCACCUCCCCCUUUCUAUUUCAACUCACGCGUUCAAGUUCUCUGGCCGAGAAAUCCACAUCUCCAAACC